UUCAGGUGCAAGUGACAAGAACUGAGCUCAGACUGGCUUAAGAAAAAAGGGAAGGAAGAAGGGAAGGAGGGGCUUUGGGUCCAGCUGGAUCCGGAGUUUCAGAUGACAUCAUCAGGACAACUAUCUCACUCCCAUCUCUCAGCUCUAGCUGCCUAUGCUUAACUUUGAUCUUACAGAUUUUCUUCAUAUGGCUUCAAGAUGGUCCCUAGUAGCUUCUCUGACUACAUAGUAGGACCUCCAGACCAAGUGUGACCUCUUACCUUAAGCUCAGUUCUGAUUGGUCCAGCGCUGGGCCAAUCACUGUGUGUGUGUGUCUGUGUGUGUGUGUGUGAGAGAGAGAGAGAGAGGAGAGACUGGGGUGGGACAAUUUCAAAGGUCAGAGUGACUGCCCCCUCCUAGGGUGGGCGAAGUGGGUCACAUGGCAAUGACAUCCAGUGGAGAGACCUGUGUGGAAGGAAGGGAGAGCAGUUUGGGAAGGAAAGGAGGAGAGGCAGGGAGCUGCCUGAGAACACUGCACUGAUGCCCAGAGCCCCUCAAUAAAAAGGGAAAGCAGAACAUCAUCGUGAUAAACCUGGCUCACAGGUGACAAGGGGCUGUUCUAAGUGACAUGAACUCAGUGACCCAGACAACUGAAGCAGAGGGGAUGAAGCUCACUGGGUCCUCAACAGUUUCUACUUUACCACAAUCCAUGCGGGUGCAUCAUAAAGAGGGAAGACUGAUGACCAAGUGGUUCUGGACAAAUCAAGCUUAUCUUUUCCUAGCCUCUGUUCCUGGGGAGGAAAACGUCCUGCAAGAAUCAUCAAGCUACACCACCACAAACAACCCAGUAAAUCAGGGUGAGUGCCUGCCCAGGGCUCCAGAGCCAACACAAAUGAACAUCUGCACUUUGAUGACUCCCAUCCUGAAGAUCCAUGUCGGCCAGGGGUGAUGCUGACAUUAGCUGCUUCUUUUUCCAUGAUCAAGUAUGUUUGGUGAUCAAAUAAGUUUGUCGCCUGGGCAAUAGAGUGAGACACCGUCACUACAAAUAAUACAAAAAUCAGCCAUGGGUGGUGGAGUGCACCUGUAGUCCCAGUUAAUUGGGAGGAUGAGGCAGGAGGAGCACUGGAGCCCAAGAAGCAGAGGUUGCAGUGAGCUUAGCCUGUCUCAAAAAAAAAAAAAAAAAAGUGAGGGAAAUACUGGGUUAACCAAUGACAAAUAAGUAUAUCUAUUGCUGGAAUUAUCAAAAAUGUAAUGUGUACUGGGAGUCUUCAGAGGAUGAAUAAGAGAUGACACAUUUUCCGAAUGUAUUUAACCAUCAAAUGUUCUUAGUAAGAAGCAUUUCCCUAGAAGAGUGUCCUCAGAAUGCACUUAGAAAAGCCCAAUGUAGACACCUGUUCAACUCAGUAAUUUAAUAUGGCGGCCAACACAUUGCAGGCCGUCAACACGAUAUUCAUAGUGUUCCAGGAACCACGUAUUUUGUGCACCGAUAAUCCCAGUCUCUUUCCGACUCCACUCUCCAGGUCCCCCAUUCUAUAAUGCCAGUUUGGUCUUGAUCUUUUGGUAUAGGGAAAGGAAAGGAGAGGGUCCUAGGAAGGAAGAAACUGGUGGGAUUUUCCAUGGGAAGGUUUGAGAACUACUGCUACAUUAACAGGAAGAGAGCAAGCAAGAGGGUGUCCCCGGGGAAUGGGAGAGAAGAGUGUGAGAACUAAAAUGUGAGAUCCAGAGAGAAGGACGAAGAAGAAAGGUGGGAAGAGGCUGAGCUGGGUGUGGGAUGGCAUCUUCCUCUGGUCUAUCUGAGCAGCUUCAGUGGAGGCUUAGUCUGUCCUUUGCUUUCCUCUUUGGCUGCUGUGUAUUUCAUUUCUGAGUCAGACGGUGUGCCAUGGCUGGCUUCACGGUGCCAGCGAACCAACCUGACUUAACGCAGGUUCGUGGGUGGUAAUGUCAACUGUUUGCCAUAUUUUUGUCGUUAUCUACCCUUAGAUCUUGUUUGCUAUCCCUGGGAGGGAAUGUUGAAAUUGGAACCAUAGCACUUGGGUAUAUCAGGUUGGAAGAGACAGUUUCACCAGAUGGCUGGUCACCUUGAUUGAGUCAAAUGCCACCGGAAGACCCAGAAUCUCUAAACCAUAGUGAAGAAUUAGCCAAGGGAAGCAAAACCCAACCAAUUCAAGGGGUUCCCCUUUCCAGGGUCGUGGACCGCAAGGUGAGUGUGUGUUUCUAGCAGGUAAAGCUGACAUGUGGCGCCCAGGAGGUCUUCUCUGCUCAACUUGAAGAAAUCCAAUGAGUGCGUCUUGUUUCCUGCUUAUAAUUUCCACUUAAACCACCUCUGCAGUUGACCUCAAGGCCUGCUGUGAUAUCAAUCUCCAAAGCACAAAGGGAAUCAUUUUGCACUUUUUUUCUUCAAGGGACUUACAAGUCAAGGAUCUGAUAAGCACGGUUGAUGAUUAAACCUAAUAAGCUGGCAGCCGGGAGCUUUGAUUUGUUUCCACAAAGGCUCUUUGAGCUUGGUUGAAAACCAGAAUCAUUGGUUUUUGUUUGUCUCAGGCUUUUCUGUUGAAGACCUUGAUUUAAGUCUUAAAAGCACUGAUUUUCUUUCUUUCUUUUUUUUUUUAAACCAGAAAGUUCUUUAGGUUGAGAGGGCUGUCCUUGGUGUAGCCUGCUGAGGGGUCUCAAUGGAACCUUCUGUGAUCACUAGCCACCUUGGGGAGCUCCUGGGUGAUGGCGCCAGCCAAGGACAUUUGGGGAAAUGGUUUAUGUAUGAUGUAACUUUCGAUACUUUUAUUAUUUCCUUAUUGUGAAAUUAGAAUAGGUUAAAAAAAUAAAAGGGUGCAGGAGAGGAAGAGGAACCUUGAGGUGAAGGCACAGUCAGUUUUACCUUUCGAUUUGGGUCACUGGGCAAGACUGGCACAGCCGUGUGCAUACUAAACAGCCAGCGUUGGCUUCUCUGAUUCUUCUCUCAUUAUUUAUUCAUUUGUUCAUUCACUUUGCAGAGGUACCUGGUGCCAGGUUCAGCACCAGCUCAGAGACUUAUUUGGGACCUUCUGGAGUCACCUUCAUGGGCUACCAGCCCCAACCCCAGAGACUGACUCAACCAGCCCAGAUGCUUUCCAGACACAAACCCUAACUUUCUUCCGUGAUUUAGACAUGGCUGGGGGAAAAAAAUCAACCCAUAUAAAAAUAUUUUAUUGUGGAAAACAAGAGUUCCCUGCCCUGGCCACCCCACUCCAGGCUAGCUUCACAGAAAUCACUGUUGUAAGUGAAAUCUUGUAACUAUUUCUGCUUUUAGUUCUAAUGGCAAUCCACCCCAGGUUGCUAAGUAAUGUAUGUAUACCGCUUCAAAAAUACUCAUUUUUGGCAUUAUCGGUAGAGUUCUGCCAUGAGAAGUGAAGGUUGGUUUCCUCCUCCCUCCUGCUAAUACAGCACUGAGGCUGUCACUGUUUUGGUCUCUUAGCGGGCUGUUUUAUCAGUUUAAAUAAUAAGCCUUUAUUUGAAGCUUCUUAAACAGUGUCUCUUAGACCCUCAGGUUGAAAGAGAAUAAUGAUCGUGCCCCUGGCUCCCCACUGUCCUCACCCCAGGGUGCAGGCUGACUGGGGCCCCAGGUCAGCACUCCCUGGUCCCCUCUGUAGAAACCAGACAUUUCCCCUCACCUAAAGAAGCCAAUUUAGUGCCAAUCACAUACUGAACUACUGAUCUUCAGAACCCCUGGCCUUUGGCGUUUGGAAAGACCUGGAAUAUGCCUCUUUAGCAGAUGACUGUGAUACAGGUGGUCUGAGAAUGUGCUGUGAAUCCUAUAAAACAGGGGACAUGAGAUGGUGGGUCUGGUCUGUGCAGUGGCAGCGUGAACACAGAAAGCUGAAAUGGAGGAACAGUUUUGCAGCCAAGAGACAUUACAGCUCAAAGGUAUCAGCGGAGGCUAGAAUUCAUCCCUUCAACAAAUAUUGACUGAGCAAGCUCUUACUGUGUGUAAUGCCUUUUUUAGUAUAGUUUUUGCACCCUCCCAGCCCUUUUCAGGUGCUUUGACAGAUUUCUAACUCCAGGGGUAUUUAUUCAGUGUAUUGUUUCAAGAAAAGGAAGGUCUUUGCAAACAGGUGCAACAUGCCGCAGCCUGCCCAGGCAGAGGCUCGCGAGCAUGUCUGGUAAAGAAGCAAAAAUCGGGGGGACAUUUGUUUCUUUCUGAUUUUCGUGUAGAGAUGGGGAACAAAUAGAGUUAGUGCCAUUCUAAGUUCUUUGUGUUUGUUUGGUUAAAAUAGGCUCAAUUCCUUCCCUCCCUCCUUCCUUCUUCCUUUCCUCUUUCCUUCCUGUCUUCCUUCUUCCUUCCUUCCCUCCUUCCUUCCCUCCUUUCUUCCUUUCCUUUCAUCCUUUAUUCCUCUCUCCCCUCCUCUCCUUCUCUCUCCCUCUCUCCCUUCCUUCCCUUCGUAUCCCCUCCCUCCCUUCCAUUCCUUGGUCUCUCCCUCCUCCCUCCCUCCAUUCCUUCUCCCUUUCCUUCUCCCUCUCUCCUUCCAUCCCUCCCUUCCCCCUUUUUUCUUACAUCAAUCCUUAUUUCUAAGUAAAAGACCCAGAAAACAAAAAAAUAUUAAUUUCAAUAACCUUAUAGGCACCCCUUCAAUGUGCUCAAUAAAUAAGCAGAUCAUCAUUUGAUUUUUCUAAGAUACAUAGACUUUGUAUUGUGGAAAAACAAAUCCAAGGGCAAAGAGAAUGCCUACUGUGGGUCAGUGUUUUGUGGCAACAUCUCAUUUAAUCGUUACAGCAAGCCUCCCAGGGAGGUGCCAUUACUAUUGUUUGUUUAGAGUUGGGAACCAGAGUCCAGAAGGGGUUAAUCAGCCUGAGGUCCUUUGGUGCCUAGAUGGCAGAAGCAGAUUUGAACUCCUGGGCUCGAUACUACAGGCAGCUGCCACUAAUUAAAAAUACCAAUCCACACCUUCUAACAAGAACGCAGGAUUGACGUGGCUGUGCAAAAUAUGCGGAUGAAGAGUUUGUGUAAGUCGUCCCACCCGGCAUUUUAGGUCACGUGACCUAAAUACAACGUGCCCAGUUAAACUGUCCUUGAAGAUGACUUGUCUACCCUGAGUUUGCGCCUGCUGCUAAAAUGUCCAUGGUACCAAUUAGGAAACGAUUUUAGUUAAAAAUUCCAGUUUUAGCAAAGAUGAAGAUGGAUACGCUUUCCAAUGAAGGGCUCAGAACGAAGUUCAGGGUCAUGCUCAUUCUCUCUUCCGAAGUUGUUCCAUUCUGAGGUUGGGUUUCUUGGAGCUGUUCCUGUUGUUCUGUGUCUUUUCGGCUUCAAAUUCUUUAAAUCUUCUCUUUAAUCUCUGAAAACAAAAGGUGAGCGUCCGUCUCUUUGCUUCUCAGCAUGUGCCCAACCAAUCACCGCGACUAAGACGAGCCGCUCGCCCAGGCUGUGCGUGAGGAAGCCAGGCUCGCUGGUGGUGCUCUGGGCUUUGGGCUGGACGGUUCCUCUUUUCAGCUGCUUCCUAGGUGCUGGGAUCGGAGGCAGCGAUGGGGGCACAGAAAGCUGCCCCUAGGAGCCAGGUUCUUCUCUACCUCGACAAUGAGUGAAGCCAAUCUUUCUAGUUCCAAAGGCCAAGCU